CAUGAGCCACAGAGGAAGUAUUUGAAUAUCUUAAUGUAACUGAACAAGUGUCUGGGUGUAUCUUACUGAAUUAUUUUAAAUGUAUACAAAUACAUGUGAGGAAUCUUGUUAAAAAGGAAAUCCAGUUUUCUUUCAUGUUUAGUUUGCAAGAAAUGCUUAUAACCUGGAAUGAUUUGGGUCUCAAGAAUAUCUGUCUUGAAAAUACAUUUUGAUUCUUUGGAGAAGUAUGGAGAAGAAUCAGUGUUACAUUAACAUGUUUUUGCAAAAGCAGUUAACAGUGAAAGUUGAGAAGUGCCUAGCCAUUUGAUGCACUUAACAGAAUUUAACAGCCGCCUCUUUGUUCUACUAGACCUCUGAUACAGGGGCAAAGGACAUUACAUCCUAGGAAGCUUUCAGACUAAUCAAGAUGAUGAGAGCAGAAUAAUAAGUACUAGACAUUCAAAGGAAGAGUACUGUGAUUUUGAAAACAGUAGAAAAUAUAGGUCCCACCUUGUCUGGAAGACUUCCUGUUGGGGGUUACCGUGUUUUGCUGUAUUGAGUGACUUCACUUUCAGAGAAUUUAAUCUGUAAUAAUAAUUGUCUAAUAGAGUUUUACUUCAUCUGGUGGAUAUGCUACUAGUCAACAAAUACAACAAAUUUCCAAAAAGGCAACAAUAACCUCAAGGAUAAAAAAUCAAAACAAAGAACAACAGGAACUCACUGCCCCUCAAUAAGGAUUAACUGCAAAGAGCUCAGCUUCUUUUCAAGGCAGCCCAGUGAGGAGAUCCUGCAGGUAUCCCAGGUAUAGGAUCCCAGCUGGGUACUAAGUCUGAGGGAAGUUAUAGCUCCUGCGUGUUUCACUGUGACAUUCUUACUUAAAACUCCCAUAAGCUUCGGAAAGAAAAGAAAAUCUCAGAGCUUUUGGACCAUGGGAUAAAGUCUGCUUCCCUUCCUUCCUUCCCCACCUCUUCAAAUGAAGGGCAGUAACAUUUAAAAGUUGACCCCUAAUGAUCUCUUCAAAUGAAGGGCAAUAACAUUUAAAAGUUGACCCCUAAUUUUUAAAAGUGAAAAACCAACAGAAUGUAAAACUGUUGUUCUUAAUAUAAAACAACAGAUUUGCGAGUAUCAGAAUUUUUAGAUAUUGACAUGAAGUCUUAUUUAAAUUCCAAAUUUUAAAUUAACUUCAACUUUCUUGCCAGUUAACAUAUUC
rnacentral:lncRNA from 1 species